rnacentral:tRNA from 1 species
UGCAUCUUUAGCUCAGUUGGAUAGAGCACCAGCCUUCUAAGCUGAUGGUCAGGGGUUCAAAUCCCUUAAGAUGUGG